AUCAAAUAAAAACUGCCAGCAACACAAGUUUGCGCUCAAACAUUCCUUGAAAACAUAAACUAAGACAAGUUCAAUGGUGCUAUCAUGUGUUUCCUAAGUUUGUUGAGUUGAAACCAUGCAUAUGCAAUGAAGCAGAUCCGAUGGAGUUGUCAUCAUGACACAGAAUGCGACUACACUUCCAUGAAAGCAUAAUAUACAAAACAAAGCCUUCUGCACACAAAUGCAUGGCCAUUUAGUCUUACAA